CACGGAGGGUGCAAGCGUUAUUCGGAAUCACUGGGCGUAAAGCGCGCGUAGGCGGUCUCUUAAGUCAGAUGUGAAAGCCCGGGGCUCAACCCCGGAAGUGCAUUUGAAACUAAGGGACUUGAGUAUGGGAGAGGGAAGUGGAAUUCCUGGUGUAGCGGUGAAAUGCGUAGAUAUCAGGAGGAACACCGGUGGCGAUGGCGACUUCCUGGACCAAUACUGACGCUGAGGCGCGAAGGCGUGGGGAGCAAACAGG
rnacentral:rRNA from 1 species